UACGGAGGAUGCAAGCGUUAUCCGGAUUUAUUGGGUUUAAAGGGUGCGUAGGCGGAUAUGUAAGUCAGCGGUGAAACUCACAGGCUCAACCUGUGCCGUGCCGUUGAAACUGUGUAUCUGGAAUGCGGAUGCUGUGGGAGGAAUGUGUAGUGUAGCGGUGAAAUGCAUAGAUAUUACACAGAACACCGAUUGCGAAGGCAUCUCACAAAGCCGUUAUUGACGCUGGGGCACGAAAGUGUGGGGAUCAAACA
rnacentral:rRNA from 1 species